rnacentral:rRNA from 1 species
GUCUACGACAAAAUCACCCGAUAAACGCACCUGAUGGCAUCGCAUCUCAGAAGCUAAAUAGGGUUGAGCCUGGUUAGUACUUAAAUGGGAGACUGUUUAGGAAUACUUGGGUUUUCGAGGAGG